rnacentral:rRNA from 1 species
CGUGUAGGCGGCCAAUCAAGUCGGGUGUGAAAUCCCUCGGCUCAACCGAGGAACUGCAUUCGAUACUGGUUAGCUGGAGUGCGAGAGGGGUGAGUGGAACUCCAGGUGUAGCGGUGAAAUGCGUAGAUAUCUGGAGGAACGCCAGUGGCGAAAGCGACUCACUGGCUCGCAACUGACGCUGAGGCGCGAAAGCUAGGGGAGCGAACG